AAAGUACCCCCUCCGUCCCAAAAUUCUUGUCUUAGAUUUGUCUAGAUACGGAUGUAUCAAGUCACAUUUUAGUAUCAGAUACAUCUGUAUCUAGACAAAUCUAAGACAAGAAAUUUGGGACAGAGGGAGUAGUUG
rnacentral:pre_miRNA from 1 species